rnacentral:tRNA from 1 species
GGGUAUAGUUCAGUUGGUAGAACGCAGGUCUCCAAAACCUGAUGUCGAGGGUUCAAGUCCUUCUGCCC